GGGGAAUAUUGCACAAUGGGCGAAAGCCUGAUGCAGCAACGCCGCGUGAGUGAAGAAGGCCUUCGGGUUGUAAAGCUCUGUCUUUUGGGACGAUAAUGACGGUACCAAAGGAGGAAGCCACGGCUAACUACGUGCCAGCAGCCGCGGUAAUACGUAGGUGGCAAGCGUUGUCCGGAUUUACUGGGCGUAAAGGAUGCGUAGGUGGAUAUGUAAGUGGGAUGUGAAAUACCCGGGCUCAACUUGGGUGCUGCAUUCCAAACUGGAUAUCUAGAGUGCAGGAGAGGAAAGUGGAAUUCCUAGUGUAGCAGUGAAAUGCGUAGAGAUUAGGAGGAACACCAGUGGCGAAGGCGACUUUCUGGACUGUAACUGACACUGAGGCAUGAAAGCGUGGGGAGCAAAC
rnacentral:rRNA from 1 species